rnacentral:rRNA from 1 species
AUUGAACGCUGGCGGCAUGCCUAACACAUGCAAGUCGAACGGGGUGUAGCAAUACAUCUAGUGGCGGACGGGUGAGGAAUACAUAGGAAUUUGCCCUUAAGUGGGGGAUAGUCCGGGGAAACUCGGUUUAAUACCGCAUGAUCUCGUGAGAGCAAAGCAGGGGACCGCAAGGCCUUGCGCUUUUGGAGAAGCCUAUGUCGGAUCAGCUAGUUGGUAGGGUAAUGGCCUACCAAGGCAACGAUCCGUAACUGGUCUGAGAGGAUGAUCAGUCACACCGGAACUGAGACACGGUCCGGACUCCUACGGGAGGCAGCAGUGGGGAAUAUUGGACAAUGGGCGCAAGCCUGAUCCAGCAAUGCCGCGUGUGUGAAGAAGGCCU